rnacentral:lncRNA from 1 species
AAGCAUCCUGUGGGCUUACUGAGAUGCCCUAAGUCAGUCAGGUCACUCCUUUCUCUAGGGAAGGACCUUUUUUUUUUUUUUUUUUUUUGAGAUGGAGUUUUGCUCUCAUUGCCCAGGCUGGAGUGCAAUGAUGCAACCUCGGUUCAUGGCAACCUCCGCCUCCCAGAUUCAAGCAAUUUUCCUGCCUCAGCUUCCCAAGUAACUGGGAUUACAGGCACCCACCACCACGCCCAGCUAAUUUUUUUGUAUUUUUAGUAGAGAAGGGGUUUCACCAUGUUGGCCAGGCUGGCCUUGAACUCCUGACCUCAGGUGAUUUGCCCAUCUCGGCCUCCCAAAGUGCUGGGAUUACAGGCGUGAGCCACCGCGCCUGGCUCGGGAAGGACCAUCUCGUUCAUAGCUGCAGUACACGGACAUUGUCUUCUUAAGGUAACAAAUGGAGGUGUUACGGUGAAAGGAUGGUAGACAUCCAGACCUCAGCUCUCAGGCAGAGAUAACACCGCUAAUUCUUUCAUUCAGGACACAAACGUUCUCUGCAUUGACGCUACAGGAGGUGCAAUGCCAGAGACUUGGAGCUGAGCAAGGCCUUGCUGGCUCCCUGGAGGACACUGGCUGCAAUAAGAGAUGUGUCAAAAUAGUUCAAGCUGCAAGGGGUCCAUCAUAGAGGACGAAAUGGACUGAGGAGAAGUCAAGGGAGGAUUGUUGGAGGGAGAAUUCUGAGACGGGUUUUGAAGGAGCUAUCUAGGUGAGCAGACGACAAAUGCAGAGAAAUCGAGGUGAUAUUGGAACCUGCAAGUAUGCAGUUCUUCCUGCAGCUUCAGGCAUGUAUGGAAGUAACUGAGGAUGACUCCAGACCCAGAGACCGCAAAGAACCAGGAAAAAAAUGUACAGCUGCAUUACCGAUCAAAAAAUACAAAUAUAUACAUGUAUAUUUGUAUAUACAUGUAUAUAUACAGCGCGGACCCUUGAACAACACGGAUUUGAACUGCGCAGGUGCACUCGUAUGCAGAUUGUCUUGCACUCUGCCACCCCUGAGACCCCUGAGAAAGCAGGACCAACCCCUCCUCCUCCUCAGCCUACUCAACGUGAAGAUGAAGAUCUUUCUGACAAUUUACUUGCACUUAAUGAAUGAUAAAUAUAUCAAAUAUAUUUUCUCUUCCUUAUGGUUUUCUUUUUUUCUUUAUAAUUUUCUUGAGACAUAGUCUCUCUCUGUUGCCCAGGCUGUAGAAUCAUACCUCACUGCAGCCUUGGACUCCUGGGCUCAAGCCACUCUCCCACCUCAGCCUCCCAAGUUGCUGGGAUUACAAGCGCAAGCAGUAAGGACCUCAUCCAGUCCUUAUGAUUUUCUUAGUAAUGUUUUCUUUUCUCUAGCUUAGUUUAUUAUGAGAAUAUACUAUGAUACAUGUAACAAUUGAUUAAGGUUAUAGGUAAGGCUUCUACUCAAGAGUAGUCUAUCAGUAGUUAAGUUUUGGGGAAGUCAAAAGACUUAUUCAUGUAUUUCUGACUGUGUUGGGAUGGGGGUGGCACCCCCAACCCUCACAUUGUUCCAGGGUCAACUUUCUUUACAGAGGCGUAGCUAUAGAUAGAUAGAAUAGAUUUAGAUAUCGAUAAAGAUAGGUAGAUAUAUAUGUAUACACUUAUAUAUAUGUAUACAUGUAUGUGCAUAUAUAUGUGUAGUAAAUAUGGGUGUACAUGUGUGUACUGCAUUUUAACGUAUUAAUUAGGGCAGAGAUCAUUUAGAAGAAUCUUACCCAAAGUCACUAGGCUCGCACUGGCUGGUGAAUAGAAACGUGGGCAUGACCUCGCUGACAAUACAUUUGGUAGUGAGCCAAGAAUCUCGUAAAUGUUCGUAUUCUUUGACCCAAAAAUUCUACUUCUGAAAGUCUAUCCUGAAAACAAUGUGUUGAAAUACGGACCAAAAUUUCCGUUUAAAAAAGGCUUAUAAUAGCUCUAUUUGCCAUAGAAAAAAUACAGAACUAUUUAAAUUUGCAUCGUUAGGGGAAUGUUAAGAGAAUUAUGAUGCAGACUUGCAAUUAAAUAUUCUACAGCAAGAAAAUGAGGUUCCAAAGAAUUUUUAAUACGUUGAGGAAAUGCUUGUGAUAUAAUGUCAAGUGAAAAACAGUAAAAUACACAAUAAUACCCACUAUAAACUCAAGCAUGCCAAAAAAGCACAGAAAAGAUUGGAAAAUUUCACCUGCAUAUUAAGGGUAAUUACCUAGGGUGCUAAGACCACUAAAAGUAGUUCCAUCAAAAUCAAGGAAGUUUUCCAAGACCCCACCCGCUUCAGAGGCCGAGACAGGAGGCAGCUUCAGGCUGUGCCUCUUCUCUUUGCCUUCCAGGAUCAGACACCUUUGUGGGUGUCUUUAUGGGUCAUUGUUUCAGAUACUUUUCUCCUACCAAGUACUUUUCCACAUCCCCUACCAAAAAUAUAUAAUAAAAAGAAUUUUAAAAAUUCGAUGAGCCUCACCAAGAAUUGGCACUCUUGUAAAUUACAGAGUAUUUUCCAGCCCACGCCCAAGGGGGUGGUCUUUAGAACCAAAAGAGAAAAAGUGAAUCAUCAUGAUUAUCACCCAAACUACAGUCAAGGCCCUUCCUUCAGAGAGGGAUUCCAGACCUGUGCCCAGCUGCACUGCUAACAUGCCGUGGGUGUCUGGAAGCCAACUAGGGUGGGACUGACUGGUGAAAUGGGAGAGAACCAGGACCCUCAGCUGCUAGAAGGCACAGAAGAGGUUAUGUGGCCCAGCUAAGAGAUGGGGCAAGGGCUUUCCUGAGGCUACACAGUGCAUUAGACAUCAGUUCUGACUAACAUUUCUAAGUGUACUAAGCAUUUACUAUGUACAAGGUAUAAUCUGUUAACUCAUUUAAUGGUCAGAACAAUCCUUUGAGGUAGGUAUUAUUAUUUUCUCCCCAUGUUACAGAUGAGGAAAUAGAGAAAAUAAAUCUUAGAAAACUCAUCCAAAUUGCAUGGCACAAAGUGGCAAAGCCCAGAGCUGAACCCAGGCUUCAGCCAGUACAUGUAAAAACUACACAACGUAUUAGAAAAUGCUAGCUCUGAGAUGGAAGAUCCACACUAAGAUCUGGGAAUGUGGGGUUUGUUUAACUAAGGGACCUGCAGGAGAAUUGCUCUAAGAGGGCCCAGACACUCUCCUGCUUGCCUCAAGGUGAGUAGGGACACCAAGCCGGCAUCCCCAUUUGCAGAGGUGGCAUCUAUUCCCAUGGAAGUAGGUGCUUUCCCAAGCAAACCCUCAGGAGCAGGGCAAACACGUUCUCAGAGAUACCCCACAAGGUAGCUGUUCCUUUGGGAUUUCCCUGCUUUACCGGAGAUGUCUGCCUGGGAUGGGAUAAUGGGUAAUGGAGGCGGUAAUGGUACAUCCUUCCAGAAAUGUCUUAUCUAGAAACAAACACUCAAUUCUCAGGACAGAGGGAAGCCCUGGGGGAUGGUGUUGCCCUGGAUUCAAGCGGGAAGCUUUGCUCCUAGGCCAAGGCAGAGCAGCACUUGCAGGACCCUGAGCCGGCACACCACCACCCACACACCAUAGUGGCAGAACACACCUUCAUUCCAAGUCACCAAGCACGCACGGAGGACCUGCUAUGUGCCUGGUCCCGUGUGCACACUAGGUCUACAGAGGACAAUACCCGUCCUCAGGGAGUUCCCAGAGGCAGCAACAAUAAUAGAAAGUAACCCCAAAAUGGCCAUAAAGCUUGCUAACUACAGGGAGAGAGAAAACUGCAAGAUGCUUCAGUGUAUGACCCAGAAGACGGCAGGAUGGAGAGAGAGGAGUUGGUCAAGAAAACCUCAGAGGAAAAACUCUGUUAGUACUGAAUGGGUAAGGACGUAUGAUUGAGUUACCAGAUUUAUCGCUUAUCUGAGCUAGCAAAUGGGGGAUUUCAGGAAGAGGUAAAUGAUUAGGUAGAAAUGGCUGUGACAUGUCCAAAGCACUGUGAGUCGCUGGAGCGUAUAGGUGGAGCGGGGAAGGUGGCAGGAGGCAACCCCAGAGACGGAAACAGGAAGAUGCUCACUGACAGCCCUGCGGGUCCAGCUACGAAGUUUCUACUUUGCUCUGUAAUCAGUGGGAUCCCCAGGAGGAUUCUCAGCAGGGAGUGGCAUCAUCAAAUUUCGAAUCCAGAAACAUCACUUUUAGUGUCAAGAGAUGGAUUAGAGGGACUCCUCCCUCACCACAGGCCAAAAUGAUGGAAAUUCCUGCUGCUUUUCAAAGUUCCUAAUUUAGACGAACCCAUUAUCUCUAGAAAAGAAGUGAAGAGCAUGCAAAUACAUUCCCUGGGUAUCUCACCUUACAAUUCCUUAACAUUCACCUACUAAGACGUGAAAGCCCACAAACAUGUAAACAUUUACAGCACAUGAACCCACACCCCUGUCUCAGAUUACAUGACAAAGCAAAACUAGGCUCAAAGAUCAUGCAGCAAAGGAAAGCUCAUUUAAUUUAGGCUUAAUAUCAUUAUUAUCACAUUUUAUUUUUUCUUUUGAGAUGGAGUCUCACUCUGUUGCUAGGCUGGAGUGCAAUGGCACAAUCUCGGCUCACUGCAACCUCCACCUCCUGGGUUCAAGCAAUUCUCCUGCCUCAGCCUCCCAAGUAGCUGGGACUACAGGCACCCACCACCAUGCCCAGAUAAUUUUUGUAUUUUUAAUAGAGAUAGGGUUUCACCAUGUUGGCCAUGAUGGUCUCGGUCUCUUUUACAUACUUUUAGAAGUAAUGUUUUCUGUCAAGAUAGCACAUGUAAACUUCCCCUUUAGAUGCAUCACUUCUGUUCUAAAUAUAUGAAAAGACAAAGCACAAAAGAGGGAAAGUAGCCUCAGAUGCAAGGAGGACAUUUCUGUGGACUCAGAAAAGAAACAAAGAUGCAGAAAGGCACCAGCUUGCUGACUCAGGAAGUAAAAGUAUUUGCCUGGCAAAGGAGAACCAGAGUUAGAAAACCAGACUCUCAUAGCAAAUGGGCUCCCUGAGCACCAAUUAUGUUAAGCAAAAUUAAGUCCUUACUUCAGAUGUGUGUCAAAGAUACAUGGAGGGCUGAGUAAGGAAAGCUAGACUACAUCUAACCAGACUUCCAGAAGGGGAAGAAAGAAAUGGUGGGAGGGAAAAGGUGACUGAGAACUUUCCAGGAUUAACUAAAGACACCAAUCUUCAGAAUACAGAAAUCCCAAAGACCCAAAUAGGAUAAAUACAAAGAAUCCACACCUGACAUAUCACAGUGAAAGUGCUAAAUACUGAUGAGAAUAAGAAUGUAUUAGCAGUAAUAUGAGAGAAAAUACAGGCUAAAUUUUAAUGUAUCAACAGUAUUUUGGCAAAUGUCUUCUCAACAGCAACAAAGGAAGCCAUGAAAACUGAAAUAAUACGUUCAAGGAGAAAGUAGAAAAAAUUGUCAACCUAGAAUUCAUAUUUGUCAAGAACAUGAUGAAAAAAUAUAAGUAAAUCUAAACAAAUACUGAUUUUACAAAAAUAAUAAUAAUUAUGUCCAAUAAGGUUAGAAAUACAGUAAAACUUAAAGACUGUGCAUCAAUACUGUAUUUAGAAAGGAGUUAAAAUUAACAUGUUUUGGGGUCCUAUAUUGUUUGGGGAAAUUAUAAUUUAUUAAAUUUUGACUUUGAUAAGUUAAAGAAACCUGUUAAAUAAAUGACAGAAAAAAAUGUAUAAAUUCUAAACCAGAGCCCCCAAAAAAUGGAAUAAGAAAAAAAAAUCUAAUCAAUUCAAAAGAAAGAGAAACAAAUAUAGAAAAGAUUGGACAGAAAGUACAAAGUGAGUUAUUAGAAACCAAUAAAUUAUAUUAGAAAUACAAUUAAUGCAAAUCUAUUACAUUUUCCACUUAAAAGAGAAGAUUGUCAUAAUAGAAAAGUAAAACAUGCUAUUUAUAAGAAAUAGGUCUAAAAUAUCAAUGCAGAAAAGAUGAAAGUAAAAAAGUAAAAAAAAAUGCAAAUACCAACUCCCCAAAGCUAAUACAAUAGUUAUAAACUUGUAUGCACCUAGAAAUAUGGUUUUGAAAUAUAUAAAGCAAAAGUUGGCAGGAACUUCACAGAGAAAUAGACAAAUCCACCAUUAUUUCAGGAAAUAUUGACACAGCUGUCUUGCAAAGAGGGAGGGGAAAAAGGAAGGAAGAGAGGGAGAGAAGGAAGGAGACACACAAGAUUUGAAAAAUACACCAGUCUUGAUAUAAUGGAGAUCAAGAAG